UCGAGAAAUUGCUGUCUUAUCCGAUCCAAUUGCACAGCCCAGCGUUCAUUGGCAAGCACAUACACGCAGAAAACAAAACGAUUUAAUGCGUUGGAGAGGAUACCAUCAUCAAUAGGCACAUCGCCCACAUUUCCUUGCCGGAAAAGGAAAAACUGGUCGUACCAUUCGAGUCGAUGGUGUAAAUACCCGGCUGACGGGACCAUUGGACGACUGUGAAUGACACGUCUCCAUCAGAUGCAGUUGACAGGGCGCUAAGUAUGAGGUCGUUCAUGCCUUGAAAUCGAGUGCGCCCGAAUCCCAUCCCCCUUUGUACAUUCCGAGGAGAUAACAGAGCUUGGGUUCUUCCGGGUAAAGCAAUAUGUUGAUUCGAAUUAGGCUCUGCUUCCGGCUACUAGAGCUCCUGCUGCUACUGCCAGUGAUAUUCCAAUCAGGUAUCCAUACAAUGUUCAUGGCGGGAUUUUGGGUUGUGCCCUCCGAUCAGGAUCAUUACAUUCUGGAGUGAGUACCGUUUUCAAUGAGGUCCAAGUUGGGGACAGUAAACCAAAAACAGUUUUUCUGAGCGCGACGACAACAAGCUGCAGUCUCUUUGAAGACAUGAGCUUAAAAGACUGCAAUAGUGGCAAGCUGCCAUCUAUAUGAUCUGUAAAGGAGUUGUGCUUAGCAACGGUCGUUUCUUAUGUAUGUAAACCACGAUCCUGUCUCGAAUUUCAUCGUCUGACCUUUGUUUGUACCUAUCUGCUAGUAUGUAAACCAAGAUCCUGUCUCGAAUUUCACUGCCCAACCUUUGUUUGUACCUAUCCGCUUGGUCUAUCUUUGGUCCCUCCACAGAUUAGGCCACUGAUGUGUUCACCUGGCUGCUUUCAUGACCUUGAGAAUCACCUUGGUUUUGAGAUUC